AUACGGAGGAUGCAAGCGUUAUCCGGAUUUAUUGGGUUUAAAGGGUGCGUAGGCGGUUUGCUAAGCGGGAGGUGAAAUGCCGGCGCUCAACGUUGGAAGUGCCUCCCGAACUGGUGGACUUGAAUGACUCUGCCGUGGGAGGAAUGUGUAGUGUAGCGGUGAAAUGCUUAGAGAUUACACAGAACACCGAUUGCGAAGGCAUCUCACGAAGGGUUGAUUGACGCUGAGGCACGAAAGCGUGGGGAUCAAACAGGAUUAGAUACCCUGGUAGUCCACGCAGUAAACGAUGAUGGCUAACCGCUGGAUCCAUCGGUUCAGUGGCCAAGCGAAAGCGAUAAGCCAUCCACCUGGGGAGUACGACCGCAAGGUUGAAACUCAAAUGAAUUGACGGGG
rnacentral:rRNA from 1 species